GAUGAACGCUGGCGGCGUGCCUAAUACAUGCAAGUCGAGCGAACGGACGAGGAGCUUGCUUCGCUGAUGUUAGCGGCGGACGGGUGAGUAACACGUGGAUACCCUACCUAUAAGACUGGGAUAACCUCGGGACACCGGAGCUAAUACCGGAUAAUCUUUUGCACCGCAUGGUUCAAAAGUGAAAGACGGUCUUGCUGUCACUUAUAGAUGGAUCCGCGCUGCAUUAGCUAGUUGGUAAGGUAACGGCUUACCAAGGCAACGAUGCAUAGCCGACCUGAGAGGGUGAGUGGCCACACUGGGACUGAGACACGGUCCAGACUCCUAGGGGAGGCAGCAGUAGGGAAUCUUCCGCAAGGGGCGAAAACCUGACGGAGCAGCGCCGCAGGAGGGAUGAAGGUCUUCGGAUCGUAAAACUCUGUUAUUAGGGAAGAACAUAUGUGUAAGUAACUGUGCGCAUCUUGACGGUACCUAAGCAGAGAGGCACGGCUAACUACGUG
rnacentral:rRNA from 1 species